CUCCUUUGUUCUAAUUCUCUCCCUUUCGCUGCUCUCUCUGGAAUUACCUUUCAACUUCACAGCUUCAAAAUGUCAUCUCUCUUUGGGAAUAUUGGUGUUUGAUGAUAUGUCUGCAAGAGGUGAAUCCAGAUUCAUUGUCAGUGUUAAUUGCAUUUGCGUUUGCAGACUGCACUUGAGGAAAAAUGUUUGCUUCUUUCUUUCUCCUCCUUUUUUUCCCCAAACCUAAUAGCUACUUCAAAAACUCUUCAAGAUUCUGAUUCCUGAAUAUCACCAAGUUAAAAUUUCUACUUUUAGUACCUAUCUUACUGGCUUCAACUGCAGGGGCGAAGCUAUGUUGGCCCAAGGGUGGUCAAACUGACCACCCUCGCCGAAAUAUUAUACUACUUAUAAGGUAAAAUAUUACUUGUUAUUGAUUAAAAAUAAACUUUGAACACUCUUGCAUAGCCCACUGGCAAAGCCCUUAUUGAAUUUCCUGGCUUCGCCACUGGCUUCAAGUCAAUCCGAUGCAUUUAUAUUGCCGGCAUCUUUUAAAUUUUUUCAAAAUACUCAUUUAAAUUAGUGCAGUUCAUCUUUUGCUUUAAAAAAAAUAAAUUAAUAUAUUCUUUCUAGAUGGCCUUGCUUAAGAAUGAACAAUCUAGACUAAUAGAAAUUCCUUAAGCUUCCAUUAAGGAGUCAUAUGAUGGGUCUUUUAUUCUAACUUCUGUUUAUUAAAUGAGGACUCUGCCAACAAAUUUUUAAGUAAUGGAUAAUGAGAAGAUGUAUAUGUUUAGUGGUUUACAUAAACACUAUUUGAUUCAUUCUUUUACCUUAGUAUCUUAUAAAAGACUAUAUUAAGAGAUGAUACUAAUAUGACAGAGUAAUAUAGAGCAAGAAAUAUUAGACAUCUAAAGAAUGUGCUUCUCCUGUGGAUGGAAACAAACAAAUCAUUAAUGAUGCUAUUCAUUAUGGUCUGGCCAUAUGACAAACCGUGAAGGAUAAAUGUUAUGCUAAUUGACUCAAUUGCUUAUAAGUAAAGAUUAGGUUCUUUAGACUUGGUCAACUGUAACUAAUCAAAAAUAAAUUUUGGUUAAGCACAAAAUUUUAUAUAUGUUUAUAUAUAUGAAAGAUGUGCUUGGUCAUACCUACUUGUGGAUAAAUCUUUUUAUUUACUACAAUGAUUGUUAUUAGAAAAGAAUCUAAGGACUAUUAAAGUAUGAUGUUUGAAGCCAUUUAUGCAAUGACUGUUGCUUAUAAAUAAUCUUGGUUGUGGUCGCUUAUUUGGGCAAAAAUAAUAACCUAAUACGAAUUAAACCAAUUAAAGAGAAUUUUCUUUUCCUUCUUCUAGAUACCAUAAAACGUUUUUUUUUUUUUGGUCGGUGUCAGAUACCCUAAACUUAUAGUGUGUAGUAAGACUAAAUGGUGACUAAAUACUUGUGAUAUUUGAACUUCUUGCUUGCCUCUCUAUUUUCAUGGUAUAAAUGAAAUAUGAUUCUUCUUUUUGGGUUUAAUUGAUGAUAUAUUGCUUCUAAAACUAAGUUAUUUUCUUCCAUAUUGGUACGCUUACUGAUUUUUGGAGCGGUCUCUGCAGCACCUAGAUAAGUAAUAUGAUGCUAUGUAAUCAUAAGAGAUGCAUGGUCUUCUUGAUAGUGAUAUGUGGGUGGCUCAUUAGAUAAUAUGUUUUCCAAUUACUAUAAUUUCUUUAUAAAGUACUUACAAGUGUGUAAAUGUUCAUAUAAAUUACCUUCAUGUUGGUUGUAUAUUUCUAAUUUUUAUCCUUUUUUCCUGCUCUGCGUAUUCCUUUUUGAUGCAUUAAAUUUCAAACAAUAUUGGUGCUUAUAGUCCAGGAGGGACAACGAUCUUAUACCUCCUUAUGUGUAAGGGUUUUUCUUAAGAGAGUCUAGCUAUUGUUAAAGCUGAAAAAUAACUAUUCCAAGAUAUGUCUUUUUUGGCUCUGGUAACUGAGGUUCACUUAAAUCAAUUUUAGUCUUUUAUCCACUUUCCUUGAAAAUUAUGAAUGCCCUUAAUAUAGAUCAAUGAAAUUUCUUGAUAAAUGUUCUCUACCCAAGUGCUGGAAGAUGAGCUUAUGGUGGUUGUCUACAGAAUAUAUUCAUGCAUUGUAUUAUGACUGCUAUGUGAAGUGUAACCAGAAGAGUUCCUUUCAAAGAAGAAGCCACCAGUAUUACUAUCUAUUGUAAGAGUAGAAGAACUUUUGGACCAAUAGUACCACUAAAUGAUAUAUAUCACCACAUUGUGAGACAAGAAUUGAACGGCGAGCCAACCUAUAAGUUGCAUAACUGAAUCUGUCACAAACUACAAGGUUAGCAGCAAGCUGGUUCGUCAACUAAAAUUGUAAUGUUCUCUCUACACAAGUCCAACGAAAGUUGUUCGACUGCAAGCCCAUGACAGUUUUGCACCCUCCAAGUUUGUUUUUCCAAUAGUAUUACCUCAAAAGCCUUCGCUAACGUAGGACUCUGUGAAGUUCCUCAAUGAAAAGUAUCAGAAAACCUAUUUUUGUGUCAUA